AACGAACGCUGGCGGCAGGCCUAACACAUGCAAGUCGAACGCCGUAGCAAUACGGAGUGGCAGACGGGUGAGUAACACGUGGGAACGUACCCUUUGGUUCGGAAUAACUCAGGGAAACUUGAGCUAAUACCGGAUAAGCGCGAGAGCGGAAAGAUUUAUCGCCGAAGGAUCGGCCCGCGUCCGAUUAGCUAGUUGGUGAGGUAAUGGCUCACCAAGGCGACGAUCGGUAGCUGGUCUGAGAGGAUGAUCAGCCACACUGGGACUGAGACACGGCCCAGACUCCUACGGGAGGCAGCAGUGGGGAAUAUUGGACAAUGGGCGCAAGCCUGAUCCAGCCAUGCCGCGUGAGUGAUGAAGGCCCUAGGGUUGUAAAGCUCUUUCGUCAGGGACGGUAAUGACGGUACCUGAAGAAGAAGCCCCGGCUAACUUCGUG
rnacentral:rRNA from 1 species